rnacentral:rRNA from 1 species
UACCAGCACCCCGAGUGGUCGGGACGAUUAUUGGGCCUAAAGCAUCCGUAGCCGGUUCUGCAAGUCUUCCGUUAAAUCCACCUGCUUAACAGAUGGGCCGCGGAAGAUACUAUAGAGCUAGGAGGCGGGAGAGGCAAGCGGUACUCGAUGGGUAGGGGUAAAAUCCUUUGAUCCAUUGAAGACCACCAGUGGCGAAGGCGGCUUGCCAGAACGCGCUCGACGGUGAGGGAUGAAAGCUGGGGGAGCAAACCGG